rnacentral:rRNA from 1 species
AUUGAACGCUGGCGGCAGGCCUAACACAUGCAAGUCGAACGAGUGGCGGACGGGUGAGUAAUGUCUGGGAAACAGCCUGCUGUAGGGGGAUAAAUACUGGAAACGGUAGCUAAUACCGCAUACCAUCGAAUGUGCCCAGAUGGGUUUAGCAAGUGGGUGGGGGAAAGGGUCACCUAGGCGACGAUCCCUAGCUGGUGUGAGAGGAUGACCAGCCACACUGGAACUGAGACACGGUCCAGACUACUACGGGAGGCAGCAGUGGGGAAUAGUGCAAAAUGGGCGCAAGCCUGAGGCAGCCAUGCCGCGUGUAUGAAGAAGGCCUUCGGGUUGUAAAGUACUUUCAGCGGGGAGGCGUUACCCGCAGAAGAAGCACCGGCUAACUCCGUGCCAGCAGCCGCGGUAAUAC